CUCUUCAACCAAACGCAUAGCCGCUCCGCUCUCCUCUUCCCCCACUACCAAACGCACCGCUUCUCAUAGUGGCAUAAUUCCAAACUUCUCCGCCCAUCCUCCUCCCAAAUCUGAACCUCGCAUAAAACCUCGCCGUCUCCGACCAAACCACCGCUCAAUCGUUAGUUUAAGUGUGAGGCCACCGCGUGUGGCCGGGUGGGCAGCGGCGGCGGCACAUGCGAGGCGCUCUAAACCUGCUGCCUGAUCCCACUCGCGGCGGCCGGUGACCACACCAUUGAAACCAACAGCCCUUGGAACAAAAGCGGCGAUGAAGAAGGGCACCGCAGCUUGGCGCCGGGCCGGUUUCCGACCGGCGCUCGUUGCCGGAUCCGCGCCUCCCCGGGGCCACUCUGGUCCCCGCCCCGCUGCGCCGCGCCGGAUUGCGGACCCUGUGGCGGGCGACGGUUCUGCGGCGGUAGGGGCUGGGGUUGGGGACCGUGGCGGCGGGGUCCGUGCCGGCUUCUGGUCGGGGCCGUGGUCGAGCAGCGCGGGAUCUGAGCCGCCUUUGAUGGACCUUUUUCGAGCCUUUUGUUGCGAAUGAGUGGUUUUGGUAUGCUCUCUGACUCUUCCUUGCCUUGCCGUCGCCGUUCGCCGUUCGCCGUUCUUUUGGAUGCUAGAUUGCAAUCUCUCCAGGACGGUGGACGGAUGCAGUAGCAUGCUGGAUGUAGCAGUAUGUAUGUAUGUAUGUAUGUGUGUGUGUGUGUGUUCGCACAUUCCCUGAACCCAAACCCUAGAUCGAAUCGAGGGCACUGCGCGGUCCAUUCUCCGGAGCAGCCGUCGCGUCAGGUGUCCAUCCAUACGGUGCCGCCUCACAGCCGUUACAUUGCUUGGCCUCGACCAUGCGGAGCCGCCUAGGCGGCUUCCGAGUCAGGUUUGGCCUGCCGCGCUGCCCUCAUUCGCUACUCCUGAUGGAUUUUUGUCGACAUGAGGCUCUGGCCAACAGAUCGUGACUGUUUGUAGACUGCACUAAGGCUGCUGGCUGAGGAUGAUCUUAUUUCCAUUUAUCAAACGGAAAUUUGUUCUCAUUCGCGGUCGCGGAGCACUGAAACCCACAGCCCUUGGGAACAAAAGCGGCGGUGAUGAGGAAGGGUGCCGCGGUUGGCGCCGGGCCUGCUCCUGAGUGGAAACUGUCCUCAGAUCCGUGCCUCCAUGGGGCUACCCUUGUCCCCGCUCCGCCGCUCCUCAUCAGACUGUGUACCCUUGGGCGGGUGACUAUGCUAUGGUGGCUGGGGCUAGGGUUGGGGACCGUGGGGGUGUGGUCCUUGGCGCGGUUCCAGUCAGGGCUGUGAUCUGUGGUGACACGGGAUCUGAGCCGUCCUUGAUGGACUCUUCUUGAGUCUUGGUUGCGAUGUUUCGUUUUGGUGCACUCUCUAUCUCUUUGUUGCUAAUUAUUCUUCACCAUGUCCUUCCAUUUCGGGACUGGCAGAUCGAUACGCCUGUAUAUUUCCGUGCGAUUGGAUUGAUUUUUACCAAGUGCGGAAAGAUUGGGAGUUGAGAUAGUGAGUGGGUUUUCUUCUCCUGUUCGCUCUGCCUGCUCUCUCGCUCACCUGGUGAGACUAGGACCACUGCCACCAUAUGUCAGGUGCCAGGCCUUUGUGAGCAAGUUUAAUAAUAUGUCCUGUUGAUGCUCUACCACGAUCUAAGGAUGCUCUUCUUCACUUGCCUAACUAUUGGAUCUGAUCCUGGGACCUGGGUCAAUGUUUGUGGGACUAAUAUACCAGGUCAGUUGCAUCCCAUAAGCUCCUGCCUAAGUGCCAUCAAGAACAAAGCCAUAAAAAAUUCCUUACGGGGGCAAUGAUCAACAACCAUGGCUGACAUAAGCGCCUAUGAGCAAUCAAGGCUGCUAUGGGUAUCAAACUGGAGCCCUCCCUCUUCUCUCCUGGGAACCUUUUCAGUUAUGUUCUAAUGAUAGUGGUUCUGUCCUUGGAUGGUCAUGCCAUUCCGUGUGUGAUAACCAGGGCAGCUCCACUUAUAAUAUCAGGACAAGUUGAUCUGGUGCUAGGAGAUGGUGGGGUUGCCAGUUAAAUGAUUGAGCAAAGGCGAAGCUGAGCCCCCCUCAACACACACACACACACACUUCUGUUGAGUAUGUUGUUGCUCUGUGUUUUCUUUCUAAACCUACAUAUUUUAUGACUCCAUUACUUUUGUUGCAUUUGUGUAACACACCAAUCAUUUACAUUUGGAUUCUGUUCAUUAGUAGGUUGAGAUGUUCCCUAGUUUCUGAUGUUGAUUCUGCUAUAAUUGUUUGCGAUAGUAUUAUUUUGCUUGAUGGAUACUUUUUGAUAAUUUUGUUCAUCCAGAAUUUAUUUCAGUAAUUUCAUGAGUUAUGUCUCAGUACUACUGUUGGUGCUGAGUGCCUUUGGACUUAGGAGAGAUUUGUGUUUUAGCAGUUACUUCCUUUGGGCCAUCACAACUAUUAUAGCCUUGCAAGGUGCAGCAUUGAUCCAUUUUGGUAGUUCCUAUGCAUUCCUUUGUUUUCCAAAUAUUUUCUUGUUGCUUAUCUGUUGAUCUUCCUUUUUUUUGUAACUAUUCUUCAACGGCUGUGAUGUAAAAUGCCCCAGUCCCAUAGAUGGCAUUAGUGGUACUAAUCGUGUGCCAUGGCCUUGAUGAAUCUUGAUUAAUCAAUCAAAAUGAUAUACAUGCUAAGUUAUUGUCAUGAGUUUGGUUGCGCUUUUUUGGUCAUGUUCGUGAAAAGCUUCUCUAUGUUUGUGCUGUUCAUAUGUGAGCAGGCCAUUCUUUCUAUGGUCUGUUCACGAAUGUAUCGACCUAUUUUCUCAAUUGCAGAGACAUUGGGAGUUGGGAGGAGUUGUUGGAGAGUUCUCUUUCCAUCCUGCCGAAAAAACCAAAUUUGGGAGUGAGUUUUGGGAACUAUUGGAGAUGCUCUGUGCAUAUUUUCACUACUGCUGACUGAUGGAUGGAACAUGCAUACUUUUCUCCUGAUGCGAUGCAGUGGUGAUUCAGAUUCUUCUUGGGCAUUUAAAUUUUUUUGCCAUAUUCUCUCCUUCACUCCCCGCCUUUCCUUCUCCCCUUCCUCUUCUCCCUGCGUGCUCUCUGCUCUCGUGGUGAUGACUGGGUAGCCACCACCACCCUAAGUCAGGUGCCCAGCUCUCGUUGGGCCCUUCGCCAGGUCUUAACCGGGCAAUUUUCUGGCGCCGAGCACCCACCAGGUGUACCAACGCCUUCUCUUCCCUUCCUGUUGUGUGGAACUGAGCACCCAAACUCUUAAGCUAUUUGGCUAUUUCCAUUCGUAUCCCUUUUAAAGAUUAUCACUUAUCAGGGCAUACAUGGGGACACCCAUGUCCUUUACUUGACCCGCGCCUUCAGUUCUGUGUGCUUUGAUCUGCUUUGCUCUGAAUGUAGGUGUUAGGCAGUGCAAAUGGGAUCAGGAUAUGUGAUGAUGAUAUAUAAAGUGGUGGUUUAAAAGCUUUGAUGAAAUUACCUAGUGGCCAUUGCAAGUGAAAUUUGCUUAGGGUGACCGUGCUGGGCAUGGAAAUGAGCCUGAACCUAUGAAUGGAUUGCUGAUGGAAGGCAAGGAUGUUCUACCUUUUCCUGAAUUGCAUGCCAUUGAGCAAGCGAGGCAGCUGCGAGUACCUAACUAGAGCUGACCCUCUAUCCUCCUGAAGCAUAUUUAAUCAGCGCUUUUUGUUUGUGGUUCUGCCUAGGAAGAUCAUUUGGACGUGACAAUCAGCACAGUUACAGUUAGAGCAUCUCCAACAGUACCUUAAAAGAAAUACUACGCCAGCCCCAAAAGAAAAUCACUUCUAGAAUUGCUUGUUUAUUCCAAUGUUGAGUAACAAUUGCACUUAGGAAAUAGAGAAUGUAAAAAAACUACUAAAGCUAGGUGGUCCUAUACCUAUAUGUGCACUUGGUGUGGGACGAAAUUUGAAUGCUAGAAGUGCACUUAUUUUCGGACAGUGGGAGUAAUCGUGAAAAUUCUGUUUCUGCAACCUUUCCAAUAGAUUUUUUUCUUGAACCCUCAAGAGAUAUGCACAUCAUUUCAUUAAGAAGAGCAGAAAAAAGAUCCAUAAAUAAUCAAUACAGGGAGACAAAAGACCCCAUUACGGUGGCCAAAAACAAAGAAACAAAAAGACACCCAUGGUAGGAACCAGGAACUACCCUGACCUAAAGACCUGGGAUUGGAUGCUCUAAGUGUAACUGUGCUGGUUGUCACAUCCAAAUGAUCUUUGUUUUUCUGAUGUUUUUUGUUACUUGUCUGUUGAUCUUGCUUUCUUGUUUGGAACUCUUCUUCUCUGGCUGUGAUGACUGAUGACCAAACACCCUAUGCAUUCCUUUAUUUUCUAGAUAUUUAUUUGUCGCUUAUCUGUUGAUCUUCCUUUCUUGUUUGGAACUACUCUUCGGCGGCUGUGAUGUCAAAUGCCCCAUCCACUUGAAUUGUUUAGGGUUUAGGAUUUAGGGUUUGGUAUUGUGCUCAAUACAAUGUUAAACUUGGAUGGCUUGUACCAUAUACAAGCAACCAGUUUGCAACUGAUUGUCUCAUUGCCGUGGCGGUGGUGUACCAUAUACAAGCAACCAGUUUAUUUCCAAAUGAACAAUCCUACUCAAAAGUUCAUUUAGAGUAGGAUGUGUCGUGUUGAUAUUGGGGUAAAUCUGAGCCGUUCAACAUAAUAUUUCUCUUUCUAUUCUGUCUCUUUCUUUUCUGUCAUAUACUUUCGUUUAUGAUUCUAUUUCCUUCAUGCAUCCUACUUUUUCUUUUGAUUUCAACUUGGGACCUGGAUUUCAACUAAUGGGAUGAAUAUGUCAAAGUUUGAUUUGAUGUCAUAUACGAUUCUUGACCUGGGUAGAUUUGAUGCGUAGAUUCUUCGUGUUUUCUAAAGAAUGAUUUUAUUUCUUCUGCACACUCUUAUUUAACUACUUCCAUUCUUUCACCAAUAUCUAUAAGGGCUUGUUCGUUUUGCUCUCAAUCCAUGUGGAUUCGAUGGGAUUGAGUGGGUUUCAAUCCCAAAUAAGUCAAAAUCUUUGAUAUUUUUUUCAAUCCCAUCCAAUCCAUAUGGGAUAGGAAUAACCAAACAAGGCCUAAGUGAUUCCCUAAUGUGUCCUUCUGUGGCCCGAGGCAUUGGCUUGGAAAUCCCUUUGGGCAACCAGUGUUGGCGUUAAUGGUCCUAAUCGUGUGCCAUGGCCUUGAUGAAUCUUGAUUGAUCAAUCAAAAGGAUAGACAUGCUAAAUUAUUGUCAUGAGCCUGGCUGUGCUUUUUUGGUCAUGUUCGCGAAAAGCUCCUCUAUGCUUGUGUUGUUCAUAUGUGAGCAGGCCAUCUGUUUUUAUGUGUUGUUCACACGUAUCGGUUUAUUUUCCAAAGUACAGAGACAUUGGGAGUGGGAUGAAUUGUUGGAGAGCUUUCUUUCCAUCUUGCCAAAAAACCAGGACUGGGAGUGAGUUUUGAUAACUAUUCGAGAUGCUCUGAUAGAGAAGGGUUCACAGUAUCUUCGCUACUCCUGACUGAUGUCUACUUUUUCCUGAUGUGUUGCAGUGGUGAAUAGUGGUGAAAACGGUCUGGAUAUAUCUCGUUCCGUUCCGCUCUGAUUUCUACAUUGACCCAUUGGACGGAGGGUAUGGAUGUUUUUCCGGCCGUUUUCGCUUUCCCGUUUUUAUCCACAUACAAUAUCCUGUUUUAGAUAAUACAUUGAACAAAUUAUAGACGACUAUGUCACAUCGCAACAAACUAAUUCAUUUUUUAGAUAAUGGGAAUUGAAAGUUCCCGGCCUUUGUCUCGAAGAGACUACAAUCGAAUUAUUACAAACUUAGAUAGGAACAUAACUAUCUGAAAUCUUAGAGAAAGCAAAACAUAGUGCGGCGAAACGGAACUAAAAACGAAGUCUAAAUGCAGAUCCCCAUCCAUGAUGUCUAAAAAUCUGCAUCACCAACUUUAUUUUCCUAAUUCCUAAUUAAUUAUGUUCUUUGUUAGCCAUAUGUAUAUUAUAAUAUAUUGCUUCUAUAUGUCUAGAUGCGAUGUUUUAAUUGAUCACAAUACUAAUUUAUUUUUUUAUUCUAUGUGGCGAUGUUUUUGCUUUUUACGUUUGAUACAGAUCUGUUAUUGAUCUGUUUCGUUUGUUUUGGUCGUUUUCUUCAUCCUGCUAGUCCCGUUUUAUAUCUUAUUUCCGAUUGUCCCGUUUUAGAUCUUAUUUCCGAUUGUCCCGUUUUUUAUCCCAUUUCCGAUGGUUCUGUUUCCAAAAUAAUGUAUAAAAAAAAGGGAGACGGGUUAUCCUGACCAACCCCGUUCUUUUUCAUCCCUACUGUCUUGUUUGGGAGCAAGAAUACCGGAGGGGAUUGGAGGCGCUAAAAUCCUUUUGCUACUUUGAAUAGCAAGGAGACUUUAGCUCCUCCAAUCCCCUCCGGUAUUCUUGCCCCCAAACAAGUCCUACAAGUGAUCUCCUCCCCUUUCAGUUUCGUUUGGGGCAUUUAAAAUUUUGCAAUAUCUACUUCACCCCCGCCUUUCCUUCUCCCUUUUCUCCCUGCUUGCUCUCUCUUUCCUGCGUGCUGAUACCUUAGGAAUUGGUGAUAAUCUGGUGCUGAUGGUGGUGAUGACAACAGUUCUGUUGGCACUGGUUCAUCCAACUAGCCAGCGGCCACCUAGAACCUCCACUUCUCUAGGGCCUCUCUUUGUUUGUUGUAACAUGCUGGCAUGGAGAGACUCUUAUCAUCUUCCAGUGUGGCAGUGGCAGCAUCAAGGGGUGGGAACUGAGUUGGGGGUUCAUCUGGGCUAUGGUUGGUGGAUUGGGCUCCCAAUGCGGUCUGGAGAACGUAUGGGGAAAUCUUUGGUGUGAGUUUUGGGGUGUUUGUAGCCGUUAUUUCUGCUUUCUCUUACGAAUAUAAUUGCAUGCAGCCCUCUUGGGUUUUCAGAAAAAAAUGGGGAAAUCUGUUUCAAACAUACUCUAAACUACAUCCUCUUGUUUCCUCUCCCACCAUUCUUUUUGGACACAUGUAGUACAUGGUUCACUUUUUUUUUCCUGGUGUUUACAUAUACAAAAAAGACUCGUUUAUAUCAGAUGCCUUAUGACUUCCUUUUUUGUCUGUACUACUCUUGGGUGGCUAUGAUGAUUGAACUUUCCAUUAGAGAGCUUCUGCAUUGUACUAGUAUUUUUGGAGCUGAUCCCUGGGAUAUUCUGUUCUGCUUGCUGUUUAACUAGGAUGGCUUGUUCCUUUCUACCUCUGUCCCCCCAAAAAUUGCAAUCCUGUCUCUGCACUUGGACAAGCAUUCUUUUGGGCAGUUGUAGCAACAAGUAACCAGUUAUGUGGCCAUGAAAGAGAGAGAGCAAGAGAGAUUACUUUGCGCUUCCACUACAAACUGCAGUUGCUAUCCUGAUAAUGUUCAAAUAUGAAAUCUCUGAGCCACUGAAGUGACUUUUUUCUCCUAGACUCUAGCACCCCCACCCCCCAAAAGAAACUAAGGUGGUUUAUGAAGGUUGGUUUUGCUGCUGUUUCAGCUAAUCUGCUCUUUAAAUUGCUUUGUGACAUUCUUGAUUCAUUUCAUAUUAGCAUUGUUGAUUCAUUUCUCCUAGACUCUAGCACCCCCACACCCCAAAAGAUGUGCAGGGUGCAUUAUUGAUUCAUUUCUGUUCUAUACAUCUCUUUUUUUUCCGAUGCUUUUUUGUUGCUGUUUGGAACUGCUCCUCAGUGGCUGUGAUGAUCCAAUGCCCCAGCCUUUGUAACAUCCCGCUGUUUGCAUUGUUAUUUUGCUCGAUUGCUGCUAAACUAUGAUGGCUUUUACCAUAACAUGUGACAUUGUUGUUGUGGUGUACUAUAUUUGAAUGAAUGAUCCUCCUUAAGGGCUUGUUUGGGAGUAAGAAUACCAGAUAUGAUUGGAGAGACCAUCCUCUUGCUAUUCAGUUUUGAAUAGGGGAUUUUAGCCCCUCAAAUAUCAAAUCUCUCUUGUUUGGGAGCAAGGAUACCAGAGGGGGUUUGAGGGACUAAAAUUCCUUUGCUAUUCAAAGCAAGAGUAUUUUAGCCACUCCAAUCCACUCCAAUCCACUCCGGUAUUCUUGCUCAAGUAUUUAAGAGGCAUGGCGCUUGGGCAAGGAUUGUGUUCUGUCUUACUUUUUGUUAGGAUUCUCUUUCCUUCAUGCUAUCCUGCCUUUUCCAAUGAUUUCAAGUUUUCAACAUGACAACAUGGGACCAGGAUUAAUAGGAGCAACCUGUCAACACGGAUUUGCUGUCAGCAAAGAUUCCUGACCCAGGCAUUGUUUUGUAUAAAAAAACUUGCCGGGGAGGAAUAGACCGUCCUCCCGGUUUGGCUGGCACUCAAGGCGCACACACCCCCUUCACGGGCUGAAGAAGAGAAGGUCCCGAACGAGAAAAUCCUGACCCCCAUCACUCACGGGUCUACCGGCCCAAGGCAGCAGGGACAUGCCCAAGGCAGCAGCGACAUGCCAGUGUCUGCUAGUUCUGAAACUAGUUUUUAUUGUGCCAGAUAUCAGUUGCGAGUUUAGUCUAUAUAGAUCCUCAAAUGAAGUAAUUACACAGGUAUUAGGUCGUGGCAACCCAUUGUCAUCCAAUCAGGCUGUAUAUGUUCGAUGCGGUAUCCGGUUGCAGACCGUAAGAAUUAUAUUUUCUAUUUGUCUUUUGAUUUGGUUUUCCUCUAAACUUGUGGGCCCUAUUGGGAUGGCAAUGGGUGAGUUUGGUGUAA